GACGAACGCUGGCGGCGUGGAUUAGGCAUGCAAGUCGAACGGUAGGAUACCUUCGGGUAUCUGAGAGUGGCGAACGGGUGAGUAACACGUAGGUGAUCUACCCUCAAGAUUGGGACAACCCAGGGAAACUUGGGCUAAUACCGGAUGAAAGCAGCAGUGAUGUUGUUUGAAAGGUGGCGUAAGCUGCCGUUUGGGGAUGAGCCUGCGCUCUAUUAGUUAGUUGGCGGGGUAAAGGCCCACCAAGGCGAUGAUAGAUAGGCGGCCUUAACGGGUGGUCGCCCACACUGGGAUUGAGAUACGGCCCAGACUCCCACGGGAGGCAGCAGUCGAGAAUAGUCUACAAUGGCCGAAAAGGCUGAUAGUGCGACGCCGCGUGAACGAAGAAGCCCUUCGGGUGUAAGUUACUUUUAUAUGUGAGCAGUGCUUUCUAUGUGAACAGCAUGGGGAGAGAGAUAUUAGCAUAUGAAUAAGCAACGGCUAACUCCGUGCCAGC
rnacentral:rRNA from 1 species